rnacentral:snRNA from 1 species
AUACUUACCUGGUCGGGUCCCGAAAGUGAUCAUAAAGACUUUUGGGCACGGGGGGAGCUGGGUCAUUGCACACGGGGUCUUCGGACCUGACGACCUAUGAACCCCGUAUAUUUAGCUCCUGAAGCUGGAUAUACGACACAAUUUUUCGACGCCGGGAAUAAGCGCUUGCGCUCUCCUGG